rnacentral:rRNA from 1 species
CUGCUGCCUUCCGUAGGAGUUUGGGCCGUGUCUCAGUCCCAAUGUGGCCGUCCACCCUCUCAGGCCGGCUACUGAUCGUCGCCUUGGUGGGCCCCUACCCCGCCAACAAGCUAAUCAGACGCGGGUCCAUCUUACACCACCGGAGUUUUUCACACCGGGCCAUGCGGCCCUGUGCGCUUAUGCGGUAUUAGCACCUGUUUCCAGGUGUUAUCCCCCUGUGUAAGGCAGGUUACCCACGCGUUACUCACCCGUCCGCCACUUGAAUG